ACUCAAAGGAAUUGACGGGGAUCUAAACAAGCGGUGGAACAUGUGGUUUAAUCCGAUACUACGCGUAAAAUCUUACCAGUUUUUGAAUAAUUUACAGGUGUUGCAUGGCUGUCGUCAGUUCGUGUUGUGAAACGUUUGGUUCAGUCCUUUUAACGAACGUAACCCCCAUUUUUUAUUACAAAGCUACUUUUAUAAAGGUAGUUAGUACUUAAAAAAAUUGCUUAUGAUAUAUAAGAUGAAAGUAGGGAUGACGUCAAGUCGUCAUGGCCCUUAUAAACUGGGCUACACACGUGUUACAAUAGUUAUUACAAUAAGUAGCAAAGACGUGAGUUAGAGCAAAUCUUUAAAAAUAACUUUAGUUCGAAUUGUUCUCUGUAACUCGAGAGCAUGAAGUUGAAAUCGCUAGUAAUCGCAAAUUAGUACGUUGCGGUGAAUACGUUCUUAGAUCUUGCACACACCGCCCGU
rnacentral:rRNA from 1 species